UUCGUUUAUCGGGCAAAGAACGUCAAAUGGAAGCAGUCAAUGAAUGCGAUUUUGAAAGGAACAUGAGGGCAGACGAACGAAUAUAACGAGGGGAAGCUACUCCGGUCGUUUGGUCGAUCGAUUCCGAGAAGGAGAGAUCGUCUCCGGGGAUCGACGGGGCCGAAGAGAGGGAAAGGGGAAGGCAGCGAGGCUGCUGUGGUCUCGGUCGGCUUCUAGGUGCGUAGGAGAAGGAGCGAUCGGCGACGAGGGAGUUUGUCUUCGGGGUUUGACGAACAGGUGGGGGUUUCGGUGGCAUUGGCUCGACGAAAGAAAGGGGGAGGGUGCGAGGGGUGGGUCGUCGGUCUCAGUGGGUGCUGCGCUGAGGCGAUCAGUGGUUGAAAAGGGAGGCGCCUUCGGUGCUUGGCUGGACCGAAGAGGAAAAAGAAUGCAAGCAUCGGGGGUGGGCGGUUGCUCCGAUUGUAGCAGGGCAGAAUAAUCGAUCAAAAGGAGUGUUUGGGUUUCUUUGUUUGUCAUGUAAGGGAACACGAGAAAAUGGGACUGUGAUCGUGGCUAGAAUAGAGAGGGGAAACAACCUCCUUCUUUGGUCUUUACCUGAUAUCGAGAGAAAGAAUGCAAGUGAGAGUGAGAUGGGGAUGAUUGAAGGCAGUGAAAGCUACGAACACGUGAAGGGAGUUCUUUUAUUUCACAUUUAACUUGUGAUUGUAUAUAUAAAAUCUGAUCCCUUAGAUUUGAUUUGAUUUAAGAGUGAUUUUUUGGUGUACAAAUUUUAAUUUAGGAUUUGAUUUAAUUUUUUUUGUAUGUGAUCUGAUCUUAGAUUUUAACAUGAUUUUGAUUGAAGUUUGUUGCUUGUAAUUCUCUCUUAAGCAAGGUGUAUACACGUGGAAAAAUUUGUAUAAUAA